AAAACACAAAAAAAGGACGCCUCAGCAAAGUUUUAGAAUUUUUGGAAGUGGAAUUUUUGGUAACCGAUGGAAAAGCCGGUGGAAAGUUCGGAUACACCGGACAAUACAACUAACAGCGUGCACCCUACAAGCGAAACGACCACCGACGAAGGACACCCGGACAAGGAGAAGCCAGAAACCCGAAGCCAGGCACAGCGCCGCAAAUCGACGUAUCAACGGCGCAACCGGUUGCUGGACGAAAACUCGAAAUUUCUGGCCGACUUUGACCCGGGGACGUCGCGCCGCGAAAAGCGGAAGCUGGCGCGAACCAUUUGUCUCACCGCUCCGAAGCCCCAACCGGUCACGAAGAGUAACAGCCUGUACAACGAGAAGGGGCUCCUGCGAGCAAGUCAACUCGACAUGUGCGACUGUCUGGACCUGGACUGUCCAGGGUGCCACUUUCCGUGCGGAUCGUGCGGAAGCGAAAAAUGUGGACCCCACUGUCGCCGGAACCGUCGGUGGGCGUACGAGCAGAUUGAACACGAUUCCAAAUCGAAGGUGUUUGUCAACACGCGGCUGGAGAAAAAUAAGUACAAUAUGGCCAAAAAGUGAUACCCGGGUUUUGCUGUGUAGAUUUAGUUUUAUUAUUUUGGUUUAAGUUACAGGUAUACAAGAUAUACAUGAUUACUGGCUGUCUCUCUCAUAAUAUUCGUUAGUCUGGGACUGGCUGACCAGCGGGUAGAUACCCACUCGGCUCGACGCGUUGAAGUCAUGUGCCGAAGCUCAAUCCUGUCUUAAUCUGCUUGCAGACUCGUACGCGGGUCUUUGGUAUCAAAAUGCACUUAGUUUUCCACACGACACCGGAAGUGACCAUAUGUACAAGGAACCAGUGAUACCCAACUGCCACGGUGUUUAGUUGUAAUCCUAGUACGAUAAGCAAUGCCCUCGGGUCUAUGUACAGAAACGAACGCCCGCAAGGAGGAAACCCAAUGCACAAUACGGAUUUGAUACGGGGAACUCACUUUUACUGGCUUCGUAAACUGCGCAUCGAAUUGUUAAACGGAACUGACGCAUUCUUAACAGGGUUCUAGAGGGUUUAGAGCUACCAAACGUGGACCAUGGGUUUUUAUGUCG